UUGAACGCUGGCGGAAUGCUUUACACAUGCAAGUCGAACGGCAGCACGGGGGCAACCCUGGUGGCGAGUGGCGAACGGGUGAGUAAUGUAUCGGAACGUACCCAGUCGUGGGGGAUAACUAUCCGAAAGGAUAGCUAAUACCGCAUACGUCCUGAGGGAGAAAGCGGGGGAUCGCAAGACCUCGCGCGAUUGGAGCGGCCGAUAUCGGAUUAGCUAGUUGGUGAGGUAAAGGCUCACCAAGGCGACGAUCCGUAGCGGGUCUGAGAGGACGACCCGCCACACUGGAACUGAGACACGGUCCAGACUCCUACGGGAGGCAGCAGUGGGGAAUUUUGGACAAUGGGGGAAACCCUGAUCCAGCCAUUCCGCGUGAGUGAAGAAGGCCUUCGGGUUGUAAAACUCUUUCGGCAGGAACGAAACGGUGAGCUCUAACAUAGCUUGCUAAUGACGGUACCUGAAGAAGAAGCACCGGCUAACUACGU
rnacentral:rRNA from 1 species